UACGUAGGGUGCAAGCGUUAAUCGGAAUUACUGGGCGUAAAGCGUGCGCAGGCGGUUUUGUAAGACUGUCGUGAAAUCCCCGGGCUCAACCUGGGAAUGGCGAUGGUGACUGCAAGGCUAGAGUUUGGCAGAGGGGGGUAGAAUUCCACGUGUAGCAGUGAAAUGCGUAGAUAUGUGGAGGAACACCGAUGGCGAAGGCAGCCCCCUGGGUCAAAACUGACGCCCAUGCACGAAAGCGUGGGGAGCAAGCAGG
rnacentral:rRNA from 1 species